UCAAAGGUUGCUAUAUAGAGAAAACAAUGGACAUUAUAUCUCAGUAUCUAGAGACCAAUAUAUUAAUUGGUUAGCAGGCCAGAAAAAUUAGUUACUAGAUUUUAAAGACAUUUUUAUUAUGAACAAAUUUAAAUAAUGUAUUAUAGAUUUAAAGUCAUGUGAAUCAAAAGGCACUUGGACUAAUUUUUUUAUAAGUCAAGUUAGUACCAUGUAAGCAGACUAUAUAUAAGCUAUAUAUAUAUAAACAUAGGUGUAUACAAGAAAAAAAUUAAAACCUAGAAUUAACGUUUGCUAGUUUUAUAAGCCAGACAUUCCAUGCUAGUUUUAUAAGCCAGAAAUUUGCAUUUCCAAAGUUGAAACUAGGAAGAAAUUUGCAUCUUAAAGAAUGAGGUUAGCAAACUUGAAUGGGGAAUUUGUUUGCCAAAGAUAGAAAUAUUUCAGAGAAAAUUAAAAGCCCUAAUCAGACAAAACAAAAUAUAUAUAAUUUAGCCAGAUGCAAUGGUGCAUGACUGUAAUUCUAGUGACAAGGUUGAGGCAGGAGGAUCACAAGUUCAAGGCCAGUUUGGGCAACUUAGUGAUAUACUGUCUCAAAGUAAAAGACAAAAAGGGAUGAACUGUGGAUGUAGCUCAGUGGUAGAACACCCUGAGUUUAACCUCCAGUAUUCCCCCUCCAAAAUAUAUAGGCAAAUAGGUUUUAUAUUCAAAUAUAUCUUUGAAGAAAAAUGGAAGAAACUUCAUUCCAUCUUUAAAAUCCCUGACAAUUAGCAAAAUUUUUAAAGGAGAGGAGGCAAGGGAAUGAGUGACAAAAGGACUGGAAUUAUACAUAUGUAGAUGCAGGUAGGCCUGAAUGGGUAAUCUUUCCAUCUUUGGGCUUGUCAGUUUGGGGGGUAGUGGUCACAGUCCCUCCAACCUCCCCUCUUAGCAUGAGGAAUGUGUUCCCAGUUUGGGUGAGGAGUGGCAUCCAAAUUUUAUCUAUUGCAAUAAUUAGAGCUGAAGGUGUAGCUCAGUGGUAUCGUGCCAUGCAUAGCAUGCAUGGGGCCUUGGGCUCAAUCCCCAGUAUCAAUAAAUUUAAAAACUAUUUUAUAAUGGGUGGAAAGGGGGAUGUUUUAAUUCUGUUUGCAUGCUUAAUUUUUUGUUUCUGUCCUCAAUUCAUUUUGUUUACCAUUGUGUCUCCUGUCCCACAGUGUCUAUCCUAAGUGUGGCAUUUAGAGAAUAAAUUUGUUGGGUGAGUAAAUGAAUGAAUGCUCACAGGUAAACAAUUCUAACAGAGAGGGGCUAUAAUGGAGUUUGAGCAUAAGGAACUUUGUAGGACAUGAGGAUUAACUUUGAGCAGUUCAUAGAACAUUUCACUGAGUGAAGCUGUUUCCUUUCAGAAUUUUCUCUUUUUUUAAUAUUUUAUUUUAUUAGUUUUAGGUGGACACAAUAUCUUUAUUUUUAUUUUUAUAUGGUGCUGAGAAUCGAUUCCAGUGCCUCAUGCAUGCCAGGCAAGCGCGUAUUCAAUUGAGCCACAUCCCCAGCCCCAGUUCCAGAACUUUCUAAGUGUAUUCAAAGCCAUCAGAGGGCACUGCAUCUGGGAACGAAAUAAAGUGAUGCUAGAUAGCCACCAGAUGGCGAUAUUGCAGAGAGAUUUGAGCAGCAGAGGAAAUGGCCAGCCCUAUUCCAGCUAAGAGCCCAUAUUUACUUCUAAAUGAGUUUUUGUGUCCUGUCCACAAAAGUUAAAGCUGUGAUUUCUUUUCUUUUGUUUUGCUAGUUUUGAAACACUUCAAUUCCUGCCCAAGGCUGCUCUGGGAGACAUCUGGUGUUCUAGUUGGUCAGUCAUUACCAGCCAGAGAAGAGAAAUGAUGCCGAGUAUUUUUCCAGUCCUUCAGAUGCUGGAAUUCUAAUUCCCACUCCACUGAUCUGCUGUCUCCCAUGUAAUGCCCUUAUGUGGAUGGAUUUAAAGAGGUGAGGAGAGAAGCAAACUUGUAAACACACAUGCGCGUGCGUGUGUGUGUGUGUGUAUACUAAUGAUUGUACCCGGAGCGCUCUCUAUCACUGAGUUACAUUCCCCAACCCUUUUUAUUAUUUUAUUUUGAUACGGGGUCUUGCUAAAUUACUGAGGCUGGCCUUGAACUUGAAAUCUUCCUGCCUCGGCCUCCUGAGUUGUUGGGGUUUCAGGUAUGUGCCACUGUACCCAGAUAAAACUGUUAUUUUUUGAGACAUCAGGUACUAUAGUCAGACAUUUUAUAUAAUUAUUUAAUUGCCAUGAAACCCUGAGAGAUUAAUUUUAUCUUUCAUUUUAUACCUCAGCCUGCUUCAGCAAUUAAUAACAGGCAUUAUCAGUCCUCUUUCAGUUAUACCCUCAUCUGACAACACAUAUUAUUUUCAGACAGCUCCCAGACAAUCUCAUCAUAUUAUUUCAUUUUGAAGUACUUUUUUGCUGGGCACAGUGGCACACACCAGUAAUCCCAGCAGCACAGUCUGAGGCAGGAGGGUCACAAGUUUGAAGCCAGUCUCAUUAACUUAGUGAGGUCCUAAGAAACUUGGUGAGACCCUGUCUCAAAUAAAAAAAUAAAAAGGGCUAGAGAUGUAGCUCAGUGAUGAAGCAUCUCUGGGUUCAAUCCCCAGUACACAACAAACAAAAAAACCUCCCAAAACUCAAUAGCUCUAAAAGAUAAACACUCUUUAACACAAGGCAAUAACAUUAUAACACUAAAAAACCCUACAGUAAUUCCUUAACAUCAUCAAAUAUCUAGCCCUGUUAAAUUUACCUGGUUUCUCAUCUUUUAAAAUUGCAUGUAUUUUAUUCAAAUCAGGAUUCAGACAGGUUUAUAAAUUGCAUUUAUUUAAUAGAUGAGUUAUGAGUCUUUUUAUAUAGAAGGAGACUGAAGAGAAGAGUAUCUAUUCAGAAUUCAGAUAAAAUUCUCUUCUGAAUUAAACCUAGUACUAGAUGUUGGGGGUCACAAAGAUUAGGAAGAUAUAGUCCCUAACGAACUCAGUUGUGCGCUCCUAUUAAUGUUCUGUGAGUAUAUUUAUCACAGGACUUAUCACUUAUGAUUAGUAUGCAUUUAUGUGUCUAUCAUUCCGGGUGGUAAGUCCACUAAGAGGUAGGGAUGAUUUCAUGUUCAACAUUGCAGUUUUUAUACUUAGCAUAGAUCUUGGCAUACAACAGGGGAUGGAGUAAUUUUGUCUAACUGGGAAUCAAUAAAGAGUUUCCAGCCAGGCACAGUGGCACACACCUGUUAUCUCAGUGGCUUGGGAGGCUGAGGAAGGAGGAUCAUGAAUUCAAAGCCAGCCUCAGCAAUAGCGAGGUACUCAGCCACUCAGUGAGACUCUAAGUAAAAUACAAAAUAGGGCUGGGGAUGUGGCUCAGUGGUUCAGUGCCUCUAAGUUCAAUCCUCAGUACUAAAAGAACAAACAAACAAACAAACAAAUAAAACCAAAAACAAAAAAACAGUUUCUAGCAGGGCAGUGACAAUGUAAAGUUUUCACUAGUGGUAGAUAAAAGGUUGUCAGUUGAUUUCAAAGCAUAAUGACUGGAGACAGACUAUUGCAGAGUCCGGGCUAGAAAGGAUGAGAGUGAGUAUGGAGAGAAGAUGGAUUGGAGAGUUACUGAGUAUGUAAACGGUCAGGAUUGAGUAAUUUCUUACAUGCAGAGAAUGAAGAGUUUCAGGCUUGGGUGAUGGUGGUGUCACCAACAAAUUCAGAAUGAAGAGGAAAAGCAGGUUUAAGAUGCGGAAGAAAAGUUCAGUUUGGGACAUGCUGAGGUUAAGGUGACUGUUCAGGAGAUGUCAUCUAUAGAGAUGUUUGCAACCAUCUGGGUGUGGUGGUAUACACCUGUAAUUCUAGCGGUUUAGGAGGCUGAGGUAGGAGAAUCCCAAGUUCAAAGCCAACCUCCGCAACUUAGUGAGUCCCUAAGCAACUCAGUGAGACCCUGUCUCAAAAUAAAAAUAUAAAAAAGGUUAUUUUAAGCCAAAACUCAUGAGAGAGGUCAGGAGUAAAGAACUAGGAGUCAUGAGCAUAUAGAUAGAGCUUAAAAUUGGAUGCCAUCACUCAGGGACGGGACAUGCAGCAAAACAGGAAGUGGGUUUAGGAUGGAACUCUGUGGAACCUUACAAGGAAAUUGAAGAAUGAGAAAGAAAAGGAAUAGCAAGGGGAAUUGGAAGAAGACCAAGAAAGUAUGGUACCUCGGCAGCCAAAGGAGUUCAGGAGGUGGGCAAUGGGAGUAGUUAACACUUGAGAGGCAGUUAGGGAGGUGAUGGCAGAGAAUAGUUGAGUAUGGCUGGGGUGUGGGGCAUUGUAGAAGAGUGGCAGGAGGUUAGUCCAGAAAGGUCAGUUAAGCCUUUAUCCAAAAGGGCCUUGGCCACCAGGUGAAGGGGUUAAGGCUUCCUUUUGGUAAAUGGGAGUCACUGAGGAGAUUCAAGUAGGAGUGACCUCGUUAGAUCGAGGUAUUUUAGAAAAGUCAGGUUGAGGCAGCGUUUAGAGGAAUGGGACUGGGGGCAGGCCUCAUUAAGGCAAAGUAGGAAUAGGUUGUGGAGGAAGGGAGAGUUUCCCAAAAUCUUUAGUAGAUAAAAUUUGCAGCCUCCCCAACCCAAAAAAUAGCUAAUGCUCACUGAGCCAUGUUCUAGGUAGUAUUCUAAGUACAUACAUCGAUUAUCUUGCUAAAUCCUUACAACCAACCUGUGAGAUAGAUGUCAUUAAUGUCAUUUUAUGCACAAUGAAACAGGAACAUAGAGAUAAAGAAAUUUGGUGAACAGAGCUAGUAAGUGGCAGAGCAUAAAUUCAAACUCAAGUGGCUUGACUUUUUAUUUUUUAUUUUUUUGGUACUGGGGAUUGAACUCAGGGGCACUCAAUCACUGAGCCACAUCUCCAGCCCUAUUUUGUAUUUUAUUUAGAGGCAGGGUCUCACUGAAUUGCUUAGCUCCUCACUUUUGCUGAGGCUGGCUUUGAACUUGCAAUCCUCUUGCCUCAGCCUCUUGAGCCACUGGGAUUACAGGCAUGUGCUGCUGCACCCAGCUAAGUGGCUUGACUCUUAACCCAUACUGUUUUUUUUUAAAUAAUUUUUUUAGUUAUAGAUGGACACAAUAUCUUUAUUUAUUUAUUUUUAUGUGGUGCUGAGGAUCGGACCUAGGGCUUCCCACAUGCUAGGCAAGUGCUCUACCACUGAGCUACAACCCCAGCCCUUAACCCUCACUCUUAACGUCCUUGUUGUGCCAUGAUUGGAUGUGGGAAGUGUGGGGUUGUUAGUUCGGAUUAGGUUGAGCUGUACGUUAUCAGAUAGCCAAAAUAACGAUGGGUUAUGUAUAAUUGUAAUGUACCAAUAAAAAUAUGGAAAUAAAUAUCUCAAUGUAAAAGAAAAUAAAAGAAAGAGUAUAGGGGCUGGGGAUGUGGCUCAAGCAGUAGUGCUCUUGCCUGGCAUUUGUGUGGCCCGGGUUCGAUCCUCAGCACCACAUACAAACAAAGAUGUUGUGUCUGCUGAAAACUAAAAAAAAUAAAUAAAGAUUUAAAAAAAAAAAGAUUACAGAUCAGGGCUGAGAAUAUAGCUUAGUCAGUAGAGUGCUUGUUUUUUUUUUUAAAAAAAAAAGAAAGAGUAUAGUAUAAUGCAUUAAAAAACAACAACAACAACAACAGCAAAAUAGCCACUGGCUAAACUGGAUAGAAAUUCAUUUCUCUUUCAAAGGGUUUAGUGUCCAAUCUUCAGGGUAUAAGAUACAACUCCAAUGAGCACAUUCAUGUUCCAAGCAGCAAAAUGCUAUGUUGCAGGGGUAAGGAGAGAACAGAUAUUAGGUGAAAGCUAGCAGUCUUUGCUAUAAGGGAGAUUCCAAGACUCUGACAUUUGCAUAGAGGAUUGCAUGUAGGAUGGUAUCAUCCCCAAUUUAAGUGGAGAAUACAGGGAACCUAUUAGACCUUUAUGUUUGUUUUCCUAGGGCCUUUGGCUUCACCUAGAAGCAAAAGCCUGUUUAUUUGUAUUAUUUUGGUUUUUGGUGUACUGCCCCUUUCCUAUCUAGCCAUGCAGUUCUAGUGAGAUCUUCCAAUCAGUACUCUGUCUCUCUGGCAAACAAUUUGAUUGAUUGAGGUAUGGCCAUGUGAUCCAGGCCAGGACAAUCAGAAUACUUCAUUUUAAUUACUUUUUUUGACUUAAUUGAGGAAAAAAUUGUGACAUGACUGGAAAAUGUAUGGCCAGAAACUGCUGAUGGCCCCCUUUUUUUUAAUUACUUUUUUUUUUUAGUUGUCGAUGGACCUUUAUUUAAUUAAUUAAUUUAUAUGUGGUGCUGAGCUCAGAACCCAGUGCCUCACACAUGCUAGGUGGGUGCUCUACCACUGAGCUAUAACGCCAGCCCACAGCUGAUGGCCCUUUUAUGGUCAAAGGGAGAAAAUCUGUCUAAAAUAAUGCCAAAGGCUGAAUGUUUUUUUCUGAUAAGUGGAUGCUGUUCCAUAAUGGGGGCGGGGGAAGAAUGGAGGACCUUUGGAUUGGGAAGAGGGGAGUGAGGGGAGGGGAGGAGAUAUGAAGGUAGGAAAGAUGGUGGAAUGAGACGGACCUUAUUACCCUAUGUACAUGCAUGAUUAUAAGAUUCGUGUUCAAGUUCCUAGUCUUACUUGUCUUUGAUGCCCAUAUGCCCCUAUGAUUAUGUGAGGCUUCUAAUAGAUUCCCUCUUUUGCCCAAGUUUAAGUAGCAUUUCUGUUACUUGAUAUCAUUGAAGUCUUGAUAAAAACUGUUGUAAAAGGUAAUUCUAAAAUCAAUGUAGAUGUGUUUAGGAUCCGUGUGUGUAUUGGUGGGAGGUGAGAUUAUAGUAAAUAGUAACCAGGAGCAGGGAGAUAGUUUAUGAGACUGUUUCAGUAAUCCACCUGAAGGUAAUAACAAUCUGAGCUAAGGCACAUCAGGGGGCCAGGCUUGCCAUGACCCGUUUCUUAUAAGCCUUGAGCCAGCUGCCCAUAUCUAUGGGCUGGUCAUCUUUAUAUGGUUGCAGUGUAACUAGUCACUAUUUAUUAUGGGCAUUUUCCCUAUGUCCUUAGGCAUAGUUAUAAUAGCUGCUUAAAAAUUCUUGUUUGUUAAUUCUGAAAAUGUUGGUCAUCUUGGGGUCACUUUUUAUUGAUUGCCUUUCUUCUUCAGUAUGGGUAAUAUAUUCCUGUUUCCUAUAUAUCCAUUCAUUUUGACUUGUCUCCUGAACAUUGUAGAGGAUGCAAAUCUGUAAUUCAUUUUUUUCCCUAUGAAAAGUAUUGAUUUUUGUUUUUGUUUUAGCAGACAGUUAAUAUAACUCAAACUCCAUACUCAGUCUCUCUUAUGGUAGGCACCAACUGAAAUACCUAUUCAGUUCUUUGAAAUUUACAUGGACUGUUUGAAGAUGGCCCCACACACUUAUAAUUCAGAGGUUUGUCAGACUUUGAGGCAUUUUAUAUGCAGAAUUUAGGGCUCUACCUAUCAAGCUUGGUCCAUUCUAGGAUUUUACCCCUACUCUUUCCAGCUUCUGUGGAAACCCUGAGCUCUGUCCUCUGAUUUUCAAGUUAGUAAGAUUCAAUUUCAGCCAGCCACCAGAGCACUGACUGGGGCCUACUCUGUGGCUAAAAGUCUUAAAAAUGGGAAGCUCAUCUAGAUCUGAUCCCAUCUUUGAAGUGUUGAUUUUCUUCCAGUUUCUGCCUACUUGUCAAUAUUUGCAGGCAGUUAUUUUUUUUUUUAAUAUUUUGUCCAGGGUAUAUACUUGCUAUAUUUGAAGGAAGAUGAACUUGAUGAAAGCUACUUGGUCUUUUAUUGGAAGCCAAAACCUGUCAAGUCACUACUAUUAUUUAACCUGUGGCAUAUAUGGCAGGAGCACUCUAGUGCAGUAAGAAUUUGUAUGUAGGCUUUGGAUGUUUGAUCCAGAAGAUAUGACUUGAUAAAGGAAGUCUUUACAAUUAAGUAAGCUAAAGGUGAUGACAUUUUAGGAUGACACGUUUGGAGGUAUGAGGGGCUUGGUAAUCUCCCACUUGGUCUGCUGUGAACUUAAAUAAUGUCACCCUACACAGGUGGAAUCCUACUGUCACCAACCUGAGUGCCUCUCCCAUAAGGAGUUUCAUUCAUCAAACACCUCCUAUCCUAGUAUCUCUGGAUCACCUCUGCUUUUUUUUUUUUUUAAAAAAAAGCAAUAUUUGAACUUAAUGUAGUAAACUAUACUUUCUUUGCAGUUUAUAGACCAGAACAACAGGCCAAGACCACUACCCAGUCCUCUGCCAGACCUACUGUGUGGGAUGCACAGGGUAGAUAAAUUGACAAGUGUUUUACUGGGUUGGAUGGUCAGGGAUUAGUGACAAAGUAUAGGCAGGGAAAUAAAAGAGAGGAGUUAAGGACUAGCUUCAAAUUUCUGCUUUUAGCAUCUAGAUGGGUGGUAAAUAGAGGAGAGAAAAGAAAGCAAGUUUAAGGGAGAAGGUGAAUUCAGCUUUGGCCAUGUUUGAAGUAUCUGUGAGACAGUUAAGCAGAAUAUAUAUGAAUCUGGAAGGCUGAAGAGACGUCUGAGAGGGUGAUAUAUAUUGAAGAAUGACUGGCAGAUAAGCAUAUAUGAAGCUACCUGUGUAAGUGAUAUAACUGGAUAACAUAUACAGAAUGGGAACUGAUAACAAAGCCCAGUGGUAAAGCAGGGGAUACUGUAAGAAAUUAGUCACUUUGAGAGACUGAGAAGCAGUCAGAAAAGGAAAGUCAAAACAGGAAAUGUGGUAUACAGAAGCCAGGGGAGAUGAGUUUCAAGAAGGAGUUAGUGGCCAAUAGAGUUCAAUUCAGAGAAAAGCAAGGAAAGCAAGCACUAAAAAGCAUCCAUUGGAUUUAGCAUCUAAAAGAUCUUCACCUCAGAGUUCACAUUUGCAGUGGAGUGGCAGGGAGUGUGACCACAUUGUAGUGGUUUGAGGAGUACAUGGGGGUGGUAGAUAACAGCAUGUGGCUCUUAUUAAUCAUCCUUUCCAGAAACCAUUCCCCUGUGUAGUCCCCUACUCUUAAAUCUGGUGUGCUCUGUGAAAAUGUAAGGAAGUGAUGCUGCUUAAAUUCCAAGGGUAGGUUGUAAGAAGCCUUGAAACUUUUGCCUUGGCCUUUUGGAGCUCUGAACAACCACAUAAGAAAUCUGAGCACCUUGCUAAGGAGACCAAGUAAAGAAGCCCUGAGACGACAUGGAGUGAGACAGCAACACAGCUAAGCCCAAUUUCCAGAUAUCUCCACCAGGUGGCAGGCAUAGGAAUGAAGGAAGCCAUCUGGGGCCCUCCAGACCAACCUGCCAAUCAGCUGGAUACCACUGACCCCAUUAGAUACCUCAUAGGGUAGACUUGCCCACAUUCCUCACACAGUCAUGAAUAUAAUUAAAUAAUUAUUAUUUAAGCCCUAAGUUUUGGGGCGAUUUUUUUACACAUGAUGUAAAACCCGAAGAUUGGGUGUUGAAGUAGUGAGACUGUUAGUGCAUGUUAUACCUUCAAUAAGCUUGGAAAGAGAAUGAUCUAAUGGCAGCUGGAAGGUCACAAGACUGAGGGAAGAUUUUGAUAAAAAUGUUAGAGACUUGGGAAUGUGCACAGGCUGAUGGGGAAGAGCUAUGAGAAAGAGAAAAUUGAAAAUGUAGAAGAGGGAGGAGGCAGCUGAUGCAUGAAGUUCUCAUCCUAUCUGAUUUUAUUUCCUACUUUUCCAGCACAAUAGUUUUUAGACUUAUUUAAAAUGCAAUUUUAUUUUGAAAUAGUUUUAGAUUUACAGAAAGUUUGCAAAAAAGACAGUUACCAUGUGUGACCCACACUCUGGUAGAGGGUCUGAUCUUAGAAACCAGGAUAGUAGGAUACUUUAGCUUCUAAAUUAGAAAGUAUCUUCCCUCCUCUGGAUAUUUAAAAAUGCCAAGCUUUCAAACAUAUAUAAUUAUAUAAAUGUUACAUGUGUAUGUAUGUGUGUAUGUGUUUAUAUAUGUUUUACAUGUAUGUAUAGGAUAUAUAUAUAUAUAUAUAUAUAUAUAUAUAUAUAUAUAAAAUAUAUGAAAAUUUGUUGGAAAAUGUUGGAUUUACCAAGGAUUUACUGACUUAACCCAGGCCAGAAAGUGACUGAAUCUACACUCUUGAACUAAAAUCUAAGUUAUCUUUACUAAGGUCACAUUAAGAACCAUACUUCCACAGAGUGAGCUGGUCUGGGCUCAGUGGGCUCUCAAAAUAUUAUAGGAUUUAAAUUCCAUUGCCUCUUAGAUAAUUACCUAGAAAUUCUUUCCAAGAAAAAGAGCUGUUGACCUCAUACCUCUGCCUGUUGUUGUCCCACUUUCAGCAGGGACUAUGUAUUGGAUUCAUACCCCCAAGGAGGACUUGUGGUAGUUUGAGCUGGUGGUGGUUGACCCUCUGUACCAUAAAGUCACUUUGGCUUCACCUUUCACAGUAGCAGACUUCCCUAAGGAAAAGCCCGAUCAAGGCAAAGUGGAAUAGUAAUCCAAUGGAAAAAUAAACCACUUUUAAAAAACUUUCUCAUUUUGGAAAAAAUGCAAACAUAUACAAAAUUAGACUAGAAUAAUGAACCCCCAUAUUCUAGCACCAAUAAUUAAUGAUUUCUGUUCAUCCAUAAAAUGUCAUACACACGCGUGCGCGCGCGCACACACGCGCGCGCACGUGUGGGUAUGUGCAGUUGUAAGUUGUUUAAAGUAGUUGGUCCUUUUUAUUCACAGAUUUCAUAUUUGCAAGUUUACCUACUUGCUUAAACUUAUCUUUAACCCCACAAUCAGUACCUGAAGUACUUUCAUGGUCAUUCGUGGACCUGCACAGAUUGGCCAAGCACUCAAUGUUCUCAGUUGAGUUUGGAUAAAAUGACACACUGUCUUCUUGUUUUAGCUCUUAUGCCAUAUCUUUUUCAUAGUCUAUCUAAUGCCACAUUUUAUGCCUUUUGUUGAUGAUUUCACUGUUUAAAAUGGCCCCUAAUCAUUACACUGAUAUGUUGUCUAGUGUUCCUAAUUGCCAGAAGUGAUGUGCCUUAUGGAGAAAAUAUAUGUAUUAGAUAAGCUUCAUUUAGGCAUGAGUUAUAAUACUUUUGGUUGUGAGUUCAAUGUUAAUGAAUCAACAAUAUGGUACAUCCAGAAAAAGGAAGAAGAAAUUUGCCCGUUAAUAUGUGAGGCUUGGGGCCGGAGUUGUGGCUCACUGGUAGAGCACUUGGCUAGCAUGUGUAAGGCAAUGGAUUCAAUCCCCGGCAUCACGUAAAAAAUAAAGUAAAUUAAAAAUAAAAUAAAGUAAAGAUAUUGUGUUCAUUUACAACUAAAAUAAAAUAUGUGAGCCUUCUCUGGGAAGAGAUAAGAUACCAUCUUUAGUGUGAGAUGAAGCUGUGAAAUAGAUGGAAAAGCACCUAAAUUAAUGGGUUUAUGAGAUGACUGAUUUUAAAAAGCAGAGUGGAGAGCACUGUUGUGUGGCUGAAAACUAAAGUCAUUUAUGGUCAUGCUACCUGAGAGCAGGAAAAAUUUAAACCCUUCUCGCCUCAUGUUUUGUUGUAAAGAAAUAUCAUAUAUAAUUAAUUCUUUUUUAAUUUUCUUUCUUUCUUUAUUUUUGCAUUACAAUUCUUAAUACACCAUUAUAUCAUAAUUUAUCAUAUCUCUGAUUAUAUAUAAGGUAUGUUGACACCAAAUUCAAUUCUUUAAAAAUAUAGAUAAUAAAUAAGAUAUCUUUAAACAGAAACAUAUAAAACUAAUUCAUGUAUUGAUCAUUUGAAAGGAAUGAGACCAGAGGUUCACGGGAACUGAACCUUGGAGUUCUACUGUGAAUAGUUCACUAUUUGCUAAUUAAUUGUAUAAGUUGACUUUAUAUAGCCUCACUACCACAAAUAAUAAGAAUCAUUUGUGUACACCCUGACAUAGGUUGUAUGUGUGUUUGGGAAGAGUUUAAUCCAAACUGCAGAUAUGCUAACGUUUUAUUUGUAAAUAUUUUAAUGUCUCUCUAACCACAGUGGUUCUCCAAAGUGUGGUCUGAGUAACCCUGGAGACACCUGGGACCUUUUCAGGGUGUUUAGGAAUUCGUCCUUUUUCUAACUGUAUCUCCAUGAAUUCGGAUUUUUUUCGUAAAAUUCAACCAAAACAACAUAUUAGAACCUUAAAUGCAGAAGCAAAUAUGAGAAUCUAGCUGUCUUGUAUUAAUGCAGAUAUUAAAGUUAUUUGCAAAAAAUGUAAAGUGGUUCUUUUAAUAAAAUUUUAUUUACACAAAUUUGUAGUGGGUUCAUUGUUAUUUUUUCUAUUUUUCUAUUUUUUUCUUUUUGGUUCUGGGAUCAAAUGCAAGACCACACAAGUGCUCUACCACUGAGCAACACCCCAGUCACUAUUGUUAUUUUAAAGGGUUAGUAAACAUUUUUACAAUUUCAGUUUUUAUUUCUAAAACAUUAUAUUUCUAUCUCCUACAUGAACAAAAGCUAUUUAGGAUGUAAAAUAUUAAUAUUUUUAUCAUAUGCAUGUAACUUUAUUUUAAAAAUAUAAAUAUAAAAAUAUAAAUUAAAAAAUAUUUUGUUUAUUUAGUUGUAGUUGGACACAAUACCUUUAUUUUUAUUUUUACGUGGUGCUGAGGAUUGAACCCAGGGCCUCGCUCACACUAGGUGAGUGCUCUACUGCUGAGCCACAGCUCCAGCCCAGGUCAGUAUUUUAAAAAGAAACAUUAGUGCACUUUCCUUCAGCAUACCUAUUUGCAAAACCUAUCAAAAGGUGGAGGACUUUUUAAACUGCCUCACAUAUGCAUGAAUAGCAAUUAACACAGUAAGAACAAUUCUGGUUAUGAAAUGUACCAAGGUAAAUUUCUGCGACUCUGGAAUUUGAAAUAGUUUUCUUUAAAAAAUAUUUUAAGGGGCUGGGGUUGUGGCUCAGGGGUAGAGUGCUUGCCUAGCAUGCAUGAGGCACUGGGUUUGAUCCUCAGUACCACAUAAAAAUAAAUUAAAAAAUAAAGGUAUUGUGUACAUUUACAACUUUAAAAAAUAUUUUUAAAAUAUUUUAAAAUAAUUAUAGACUCACAGAAAUUGCAAAAGUAGUAUAUAGAGACCCAUGUACCUAUCACCAAGCUCUCCCUCUUAGUGAUAUGUCAUAUAGCUAGCAUAAUCUCAAAUUCAGGAAAUUUGUAAUGGUACAAUAAUAUUAACUAGAAUGUGGGCUUUAUUCAGUUUUCAUCAUUUUUACAUGUGUUCAUGUACAAGUGGUUCUCUGUGGUUUUAUCCCAUGUAUACACUUAGUGAGUUGGGUGAUCAUCAGCACUGCCAAGGUGUAAAACUCUUCAGUUGCCUCCUUUGUAUUUUCCAUUUAUAUUCAUAUCCAUACUGCUUUACUUUUACACCUUGUCAGUGAUUGAUCUGUUCUCAAUCUCUAAAUUUUUGUAAUUUUGAGAAUGUUAUGCAAAUGAAAUCCUGUACUUUGGGGAUUGACUUUUUUUUUCACUAAGUAUAAUGUUCUUGAGGUCCAUAUGGGUUGUGAUUGAAAGACUUAUGGAUUACCUGGUUUUGCUAUUGUAAAGUUACCAUGAACAUUUACAUACAGGUUUUUGUGUGAACAUAAAUUAUCAUUUCUCUUGGAUAAAUGCCCAGUGACUUGUGGAGUUCUAUGAUAAGUACAUGUUUAGUUAUGCACAUAUCAGAAUGAGCCUUGCCAUUGUAUAUUCCUAAAAGCAAUGUAUGAAAAAUUUCCAUUGCUAGGCUGGGUGUGGUGGUACACACUUGUAUUACCAGUGACUUAGGAGGCUGAGGCAAGGAGAUGGCAAGUUCGAGACCAGACUUGGAAACUUGGUGAGAUCCUCAACAAUUUAGUGAGACCCUGUCUCAAAAAUAAUAAAAAAAAAAAAGGCUGGGUACAGUGGCACAUGCCCAUAAUCCUAGCAGCUCAGGAAGCUGAGGUAGGAGGAUCACAAGUUCAAAGCCAGCCUCAGCAACUUAGCGAGGCCCUAAGCAAUUCAGAACCUGUCGCUAAAUAAAAAUAUAAUACAAGACUUGGGGUGUGGCUCAGUGGUUAAGCUCCCUUAAGUUCAAUCCCUGGUACCAAAAAAAAAAAAAGAAAGAAAGAAAGAAAAUUUAAAAAUGACUGGGGAUAUAGCUCAGAAGUAAAGCACCCCUGGGUUCAAUCCCCAAGUACCAAUUAAAAAAUUCAGUUGCUAACAUUUAUUAUUACCAUUAUUUAUAUUAUCCAUUCUCAUUGGUGUGGUUUUACUUUGCAUUUCCCUAAUGGCUAAUGAUGAUGUACAUAUUUUCAUGUUCUUCUUUGUCAUCUGUAUAUUCUCUUUUCUAUCCAUACCUUUUGCUUAUUUUCCAAAUGGAUCUUUAUUUUUAACUAUAGGAUUUUGAGAGUUCUUUAUAUAUUCGGUAUACCAAUCCUUUGUUGUAUAUAUAGUUUGCAAAUAUGUUCUUCCAAUCUGUAGUUUGUAUUUUCAACCUCUUAAUAGGAUCUUUUCAGCAUAAUAACUUUUAAUUUUGUUAGUGUAAUAUGUAAUUUUUCAUGUUUUUAUUGUUUCAUGAUUUUUAUAUUUAAGUCCACAGUCCACUUUGAGUUUAUUUUUUUUCAAACUAUUAAAGAGAUUUGUUUUUGAAAUUUCUUUUAGUUGUUGAUUGACCUUUUUUUAUUUUUUUCUUUAACAACAGAAAUUUACUCUCUUGCAUUUCUGUUUUUUUUUUGGUUAUAGAUGGACACAAUGCCUUUAUUUAUUUAUAUGUGGUGCUGAGGACUGAAGCCAGCACCUCACAUGUGCAAGGUAAGUUCUCUACCACUGAGCCACAACCCCAGCCCUGCUUAUUUAUUUAUUUAUUUAUUUGUAGUGCUGAGAAUCGAACCCAGUGCCUCACAUAUGCUAGGCAAGUGCUCUACCAAUGAGCUACAACCCCAGCCUCUUGAUUUUAUUUUCGUAGAUGGUGUGAGGUUCAAUUUUUUUCCUAUGGAUGAACAUUUAUUCCAACACCAUUUUUUAAAAAAUUCUAUCCUUCUUCCAUUGAAGUUUGUUACACCAUUUGUAAAGUCAGUUGAGUGUACUUGUGCUGGUCUGUUACUCAUUUCCCUUGAUCUGUAUCUGUCACUCCCCAAGGAUCCUACUGUCUCAAUUUACUGUAUCCAAUAUUUUAACUUGCAAUAAAGAUAUUCCCCCAGUUUAUUCUUCUCUUUAAAAGUUGUUUUAACUAUUCUAGUUGCUUUACCUUUUCCUAUAGGUUUUGUAAGCUUGCCUAUAUUAAUGAUAAAUCUUGGUAAUAUUUGGAUAAUAAUUAUGUUAAAUGUACAGAUCACCUUGGGGGAAAUUUACAUCUUUACUAUAUUGAGUGUUCUAUUCAAUGAACACUGUAUAUUUUUCUUUUUCUUUUUUUGUACCAGGGAUUGAACUCUGGGGCACACCCCCCCCCUUUUUUGAGAGGGUCUCGCUAAUUUGCUGGAGCUGGCUUUGAACUCAUGAUUCUUCUGCCUCAGCCUUCUGAGCUGCUGGGAUUACAGGAGUGGGCCACCAUGCCCAGCUAUUUUUCCAUUUUUAAAGAAAUGUUUUUUCUUUCAUCAACAUUUUAUAGAAAGGGAUGUACUUAUGACAUGAGAGGACUGGUGAAGUCUCAGUGCUUCAUCCCAGCAAGGAGCAGGCAUGCUGCUUGCUGUGUGAAUUCGGUAGCCUCAGUUUCCUCAUUUGUGGUCACAGCUCCUUCAUAAUAUCAUUGUGAAGAUUUAAAGAGACAGUGGAGGUCUGAGUCCUGCCUCUGUCUUCUUUACUUUCCUCCCUUUCACCCUUUGCUUUUUGGGCCUUUCGAGCCCUCGUCUGUGACCCCCAUAGGCACUAAUAGUGGGAAUGUCUUCCAAGGGGUGUCAUGAGGAAUGAAGGUGAGAAUUGACUGCCUGAUAAUAUAGGGACAUCUAGGCAGUGAUUAUUAGUAGUAUUCUGCCUUUCUCUGAGAGAAACUUGAUGGAAACCAAGAAGAUAGCUCCAAGAGCCGGUAGCAAGAUCUUGCUGUAGGUUUGGGACAAUGGAGAAAGUUCAUCAUAGCACAACAGACAAUAGGAAAGAAAAUCUCCAAACCUUGUGACAGCUAUGACCCAACUUUCACAUAAAAAGAAUUAAACUGUCUGUGUAUAAAAGCAGAUUUAGAGGCAUACACACCAAACUGGACUGCCAGGAGUUGAGGGACUUUUACAUUUACUUUUUCCCCGUUUGUGCUUGAAAGCUAUUUCUUUUUAACUGAGUUUGUGUUGUACUAAACAAUAUCAAAAUAAAUUAUUUUUCUUUUUUUUAGAGAGAGGAGAGAGAGAGAUGGAGAGAGAGAGAGAGAGAGAGAGAGAGAGAGAGAGAGAGAGAGAGAGAAUUUUUUAAAUAUUUAUUUCUUUUAGUUAUUGGCGGACACAACAUCUUUCUUUGUAUGUGGUGCUGAGGAUCGAACCCGGGCCGCACGCAUGCCAGGCGAGCGUGCUACCGCUUGAGCCACAUCCCCAGCCCCAUAAAUUAUUUUUCAAAGGCCAAUCAGUUGAAAAAAUUAACUAGUUAGCAAACUGUGCACACACAAAUAUAGUGGGAUAAUUUCCCUUAAAUUUCUCUUCCAUUCAGCUGCCUGCCUGGCCUUUGUGCUUCUUCAUCUCCUUGGCUCUCCAGCUUCCUAUCCACCAAAGUUUCUGAGUUAUCCUUGUGCAGGAGAUUUGAGUUACCCUUUCCCUUAGACCUGGGUCAUCUCACCUUGGUUCAUGGAGCCUUAAUCCCCUCCCCAAAUAAGCAAGCAUUUCACAGCUGUCUUUGUGACUGAAGACAGUUCCUUCUGUGAAAGGAAUUACUUGGUUAGCUCAUAAAGGGAUUCCCCACCCCCAAUGAUGUUGGGGAGAGUAGUCUAAAGCUAGUGACUUUAAUGAAUUCUGUGUGAAGAGGCUGGGAGGGAGGGUUUAGGUAAUCCAUUACAUGGAUGUUCAAAGUAUUUGGAGAGAAGUGUUUGGUACAGUUAUGAUGACAUUCCACAGCAUGGCACUUGUAAUGCACUAGGUACCCUUUUAAAGACUUUGCAUAUGUUCCUUCAUUUAAUCCUCACCUCAAACCUAUGAGGUGCUUCCUGUUAUUAUUUCCUUUUUACUGAUGAGGAAGUUGAAACACAGAGGUUAACUACCUUGCCCAAGUUCACACAACUAGUAGAGGCAGGAUCCGGAGGCUGAGGAAUGCUUAAGUCAUGUUCCUCCUCUCUUUGUUCAAUCAUCCAGUCCUUCCACAGACAACCUGACUGGCAACCAUUAUACCAAGUGCAAUAUUCAUAUUGGAGUCAACAUAUUAAUUUGAAGUUUUGAGCCAGUGCCAGGCUCCCAAAACCUGUCCUGGGGAAUAUAGCUUAAUUGGUACAGUAUAGCAAAAUGUCCUGCUUGUUGAAACUAAAUUUGUAGUUAUCUUCUUUUUCAUCAGUAAGUCAUUGAGGGUUGUAUCCCAGCAAAAUAGGAUAUAAGGUCUCCAAACAAAAAGGGGAUUACGGAGUUUCAUUAUAAAGAAAGUUGGAUUAGUCUUUUAGUAGUUGGGUACCUGAAGAUGUGGUAUUCAGCCAGAGUAAACACACAGUGGUUUGGACUCUGGAUGUGCAGGUUUGCAGAAGAUGAAAUUCUGUUGUUGGUCUUCAGCUGGAGAAGUAUUUGCAUCUGCUGAGAGGAAAAAGCAUUGCUCUGAUCUCUGAUUGCUCCUGUUCUCAACCUGUACCAGGUUGAGAGAGCUCAUUUCUGGUUUGGGGGCAAGCUUUUCCCAGUUCAUUUGUUUUACUGCAGUUAGAACCUCCCAUAUUUUUACACUUCACAAAUUAUACCUGAAAAUUUUUAAGUCACCAUGGUAACUGUCUCUCCAGCAUCAUUCCCUGGACACUGAAGAAUGAGGGAAUUGACAUAUAUCAACAGGGAGGGGGUGGGAGUUGUUUUAUUAUUGCUGCUCUCUCAAGCCAGUAGGAAAGUGCUCUAAUACCUGUGAUCAGGAGGAUUAGUGAUACCUCAAGUUUGGGAUGUAAGAGGGUGGAUCCUGCUAUGCCAUUUAUUUCUAGUCUGUGCAAGAAGUUAUUGUGGCUGGUACCAGUAUGGUGGAAAAGGGCGAUGGAAAAUGGAGAAUUGAUGCAAGAAAUAAUGUGCCGGUAGAACAAAGGGACUUUCUGACAUGGGAGAUUCAGGAGAGUUUAGAAAUAGUACCCAACUUAAGAUUCAAUUGAGGGCUGGGCUGUGGCUCAGUGGUAAAGUGCUCACCUACCAUGCAUGAGGCACUGGGUUCGAUCCUCAGCACCACAUGAAAAUAAAAUGAAGAUCUUGUAUCCACCUAUAAUUAAAAAAUAAAUAUUUUUUUAAAUGUUUCAAUUGAGGAUGGGGGUAUAGCUCAGCAGUAGAGCAUAUAGUUAGUAUUCUGAGUUUGAUCCCCAGCAUCAAGAUUUGAUUGAACAACUGGUGAAUGAUGAAUCCAUUCCACAAAAGAGAGGAAAUUGAAGGAGG
rnacentral:lncRNA from 1 species